rnacentral:ncRNA from 1 species
AAAAAGGCGUUGAAGGGAAAUAGUAGAUAAUUUGCUUUCUAAAGAGAGCCGAUGGUUGGUGGAAAUCGGUGGAAGCGGUUAUCGAAUCCGUCCCGGAGCUUUUUACCAAAAAGUAAAACCGAUGCACCGGUUAUAGUGCACGAAAGUGAGCUUAAAGCUAACUAGGGUGGCAACGCGGGAAAAUUUCUCGUCCCUAAA